GUCUUCUCCACCAAUAUUUUCCUCUGUAAUCACCGUAACCGUUACUUCAAUAAUCAAUGAUGUUCUUUACUCUCUCCUUUUCGUUCGACCUCCCUAUGAUUCUUUAUCUUCCAAAUCCAGACGUUUCAUGAUUCUAUCAACCAGUUGCUAUAAAUUUAGGGCCAUACACACAAACCAUCACUACCCAACAGUAUUGAUCUUCUUCUCACAGAUUUGUUACAAAAAAAAAAAAUUCACAGGCGAUGAAUUCCAACAGUAAAUCUCCUGUUUCCGGCGAUCUUACCGCGAAGAAACCAAAUGGAAAAGACGUUGUCUCCAGCGAUCCUAAGACGAACAAACCAAACGGCGAUCCGUUGACUCCUCCGACAAUCCGACCAGACGUACCGGCGGUUCCGGUAGCUAUUGCGCUAUCUCCAUCUCCGGCGACCUUAUACCGAGAUGAAGAAUCUAUAUGUUUGUCUCCACUCGAGACGUUAGGACUUCUACUCUGCUCAAUCUUCUUUCUGAAUCAGAGAUAUGGUCACUGCUCCACCACCAUUCAAGUGAGGUUGCUCAAACUCUGGUUAUUGGAUUUACAGGGCUGGGGUGUUGCGUUGCUGGUUGGAUGCCAAGCAAAGGCGAUGCCUUUAAUAUAAGAAGGUAUAUAAAGUUUGCGAACAGGUGGCUUAAGUGGACAUGACUAUCCUACCAAGGAUGGUAGUGCGGUCAGGGACUACAUCCAUGUGAUGGAUUUGGCAGAUGGGCAUAUUGCUGUGCUAAGGAAGCUAUUUGCUGAUUCGGAGAUAGGCUGUAAUGCUUACAAUCAAGGGACUGGACGAGGAACGUCUGUGUUAGAACGUCUGUAUAAAAAAGCUUCUGGCAAGAAAAUACCUAUCAAACUUUGUCCGAGAAGGCCAGGAGAUGCAACUGCAGUUUAUGCUUCAACAGAGAGAGCUGAGAAAGAACUUGGCUGGAAGUAGAUUGUCUUUUAGUCAACUGAGACAUGUGUUUCACGAAAAUCAAAGGUGGUUUGAGGUACUUCAGUUCUUUCAGUGAAUGUCAACCUCCACAUGAGAAACAGAGAACUGGGUUUAGGUCCAAGACGGAUCAAGUUUUGGUUUCAGAACUGAAGAAUACAGAAUAAGGCACAACACGAAAGAGUUGAUAGUUGUGCACCCAAGGAAGAGAAUGAUUGGAUUCAUUGCGAAAACAUUGUCAUUCGAAAAGCUCACAAACACACCAUUUGCCACAACUGUGGUGAUGCUCCUGUUCAUGACGACUCUUUGAUGAACAGAAGCUUAGAGAAGAGGUUCUAGCGUUUUCUUUACCAUCUCAUGUUCAAAACAAGGUCACGGUGGGUGUCAGUCUAAUGAGAACUGUUGGUAUCAAAUCUUUUUACUAUAUGUUGUUGAGACCUCACAAGAAAAGUAAGAAAAUAUGAGGAAACCAUAAGAGUAAACAAACUAAUACCACAUUAAGCAACAA